rnacentral:rRNA from 1 species
GGGUGAAAUCUGGUGCCCAGGGGUGGUUGAGCAGGAGGUUCAAAAGGUUUUUAAGCUAUUAAAAUUUAGGCUUAAAACAGGAUUAGAUACCCUGUUAUACUAAGUUAAAAAUAAGUCGCUUGAGUAGUAAAUAGUUAUAUUCUCGAAACUUAAAGGAUUUGGCGGUAUCUUAGUCUUGUUAGAGGAAUCUGUUCUGUAAACGAUAAACCACGAAUUAUCUUACUCUUUCUUGUAAAACAGUUUGUAUACCGCCAUUAUUAGAUGGUUUUUAUAAGAAUCCAUUGAAAUAGUUUAUCGAUUAGUAUAUUAGGUCAAGGUGCAGCUAAUGAAAGAGCAAGUAAUGGAUUACAAUGAUAUGUGUGAAAACGAAUUAAUGGGGGAAUUCCUGUUUUAAAGGUGGAUUUAAUUGUAACACUUGUUUAAUAAGCAGGUUUGAUAAGGGCUCUAAGAUAUGUA